GACGAACGCUGGCGGCGUGCUUAACACAUGCAAGUCGAGCGGUAAGGCCCCUUCGGGGGUACACGAGCGGCGAACGGGUGAGUAACACGUGAGCAACCUACCCUCAACUUUGGGAUAAGCCUCGGAAACGGGGUCUAAUACCGAAUAUCACCAAUGACUUCAUGGUUUUUGGUUGAAAGUUCUGGCGGUUGGGGAUGGGCUCGCGGCCUAUCAGCUUGUUGGUGGGGUAAUGGCCUACCAAGGCGUCGACGGGUAGCCGGCCUGGGAGGGCGACCGGCCACACUGGGACUGAGACACGGCCCAGACUCCUACGGGAGGCAGCAGUGGGGAAUAUUGCGCAAUGGACGAAAGUCUGACGCAGCAACGCCGCGUGAGGGAUGACGGCCUUCGGGUUGUAAACCUCUUUCAGCAGGGACGAAGCGAGAGUGACGGUACCUGCAGAAGAAGGACCGGCCAACUACGUGCCAGCCGCCGCCGUAAGAC
rnacentral:rRNA from 1 species